GACGUAGGGCGCGAGCGUUGUCCGGAUUUAUUGGGCGUAAAGAGCUCGUAGGCGGCUUGUCGCGUCGACUGUGAAAACCCGCGGCUCAACCUCGGGCCUGCAGUGGAUACGGGCAGACUAGAGUGCGGUAGGGGAGAUUGGAAUUCCUGGUGUAGCGGUGGAAUGCGCAGAUAUCAGGAGGAACGCCGAUGGCGAAGGCAGAUCUCUGGGCCGUAACUGACGCUGAGGAGCGAAAGCGUGGGGAGCGAACAGG
rnacentral:rRNA from 1 species